UACGGAGGGUCCAAGCGUUGUCCGGAUUUAUUGGGUUUAAAGGGUGCGUAGGCGGAUAAUUAAGUCAGUGGUGAAAUCUUGCGGCUCAACCGUAAAAUUGCCAUUGAAACUGAUUAUCUUGAGUACAGUUGAGGUGGGCGGAAUGUAUCAUGUAGCGGUGAAAUGCUUAGAUAUGAUACAGAACACCGAUGGCGAAAGCAGCUCACUAAACUGCAACUGACGCUGAGGCACGAAAGCGUGGGGAUCAAACAGG
rnacentral:rRNA from 1 species